rnacentral:rRNA from 1 species
UGGGCAACCCUGAUCCAGCAAUGCCCCGUGUGUGAAAAANGCCUUCNNGUUGUAAAGCACUUUUGUCCGCAUAGAAAUGUCCUGGGGUAAUACCCCCGGUCNAUAACAGUACCGNAAUAAUAAGCACCGGCUAACUACAUGCCAUCACCCGCGGUAAUACAUAUGGUGCGAGCGUUAAUCGGAAUUACUGGGCGUAAAGCGUGUGCACGCGGUUUGAUAAGACACG